UACGAAGGGGCUAGCGUUGUUCGGAAUCACUGGGCGUAAAGGGCGCGUAGGCGGCCGAUUAAGUCGGGGGUGAAAGCCUGUGGCUCAACCACAGAAUUGCCUUCGAUACUGAUUGGCUUGAGACCGGAAGAGGUCAGUGGAACUGCGAGUGUAGAGGUGAAAUUCGUAGAUAUUCGCAAGAACACCAGUGGCGAAGGCGGCUGACUGGUCCGGUUCUGACGCUGAGG
rnacentral:rRNA from 1 species